AACGAACGCUGGCGGCAGGCUUAACACAUGCAAGUCGAGCGCCCCGCAAGGGGAGCGGCAGACGGGUGAGUAACGCGUGGGAAUCUACCCAUCUCUACGGAAUAACGCAUGGAAACGUGUGCUAAUACCGUAUACGUCCUUCGGGAGAAAGAUUUAUCGGAGAUGGAUGAGCCCGCGUUGGAUUAGCUAGUUGGUGGGGUAAAGGCCUACCAAGGCGACGAUCCAUAGCUGGUAUGAGAGGAUGAUCAGACACACUGGGACUGAGACACGGCCCAGACUCCUACGGGAGGCAGCAGUGGGGAAUGUUGGACAAUGGGCGCAAGCCCGAUCCAGCCAUGCCGCGUGGGUGAUGAAGGCCCUAGGGUUGUAAAGCUCUUUCACCGGUGAAGAUAAUGACGGUAACCGGAGAAGAAGCCCCGGCUAACUUCGUGCCAGCCGCCGCCGUAAGAC
rnacentral:rRNA from 1 species